rnacentral:misc_RNA from 1 species
UUAUUUCUGGUAAUAUUAAAGAUGGAGAACAUUUCAAAUCUACUGGAAAACAUGAAGAAAGUGAGCAGGAUAAGCCGAAUAUGUCAUCUCAACAACCAAUAAAAGCUGAAGGAAGAGUUGCAUGGAGGGAAGGUGCGGAAUUUUUUGAAGUUGUUGAAACUUACCCAUCUUGUGGGUCUCCUGAGGAAGUCAAGAUUGAAUCUGGUUUGCUGCAUAAUAUGGAGUCACAUGAAGACAGACAAUCCACAGCAGCCACUGACAGAUUUGACCAUCUAGAAACUUGCAAAAAUGUUGCAGCAAAGGAGGCUCGUG